rnacentral:rRNA from 1 species
AGCACCACAACGGGUGGAGCUUGCGGUUUAAUUGGAUUCAACGCCGGAAAUCUUACCGGGACCGACAGCAAUAUGAAGGCCAGGCUGAAGACUUUGCCGGAUUAGCUGAGAGGUGGUGCAUGGCCGUCGUCAGUUCGUACUGUGAAGCAUCCUGUUAAGUCAGGCAACGAGCGAGACCCACGCCCACAGUUGCCAGCGUACUCUCUGGAGUGACGGGUACGCUGUGGGGACCGCCGCUGCUAAAGCGGAGGAAGGAAUGGGCAACGGUAGGUCAGUAUGCCCCGAAUAUCCCGGGCUACACGCGAGCUACAAUGGUUGGUACAAUGGGUAUCUACCCCGAAAGGGGACGGGAAUCUCCUAAAACCAAUCUUAGUUCGGAUUGAGGGCUGCAACUCGCCCUCAUGAAGCUGGAAUCCGUAGUAAUCGCGUUUCAACAGAACGCGGUGAAUACGUCCCUGCUCCUU